UACGAAGGGGGCUAGCGUUGCUCGGAAUUACUGGGCGUAAAGGGCGCGUAGGCGGGCGUUUAAGUCAGAGGUUAAAUCCCAGGGCUCAACCCUGGAACUGCCUUUGAUACUGGACGCCUAGAGUGUGGGAGAGGUGAGUGGAACUCCGAGUGUAGAGGUGAAAUUCGUAGAUAUUCGGAAGAACACCAGUGGCGAAGGCGACUCACUGGCCCAUUACUGACGCUGAGGCGCGAAAGCGUGGGGAGCAAACAGG
rnacentral:rRNA from 1 species